rnacentral:rRNA from 1 species
GUGCACGCCGGCGGUAGGCCUAACACAUGCAAGUCGAACGGCAGCACAGUAAGAGCUUGCUCUUACGGGUGGCGAGUGGCGGACGGGUGAGGAAUACAUCGGAAUCUACUUUUUCGUGGGGGAUAACGUAGGGAAACUUACGCUAAUACCGCAUACGACCUACGGGUGAAAGCAGGGGAUCUUCGGACCUUGCGCGAUUGAAUGAGCCGAUGUCGGAUUAGCUAGUUGGCGGGGUAAAGGCCCACCAAGGCGACGAUCCGUAGCUGGUCUGAGAGGAUGAUCAGCCACACUGGAACUGAGACACGGUCCAGACUCCUACGGGAGGCAGCAGUGGGGAAUAUUGGACAAUGGGCGCAAGCCUGAUCCAGCCAUACCGCGUGGGUGAAGAAGGCCUUCGGGUUGUAAAGCCCUUUUGUUGGGAAAGAAAAGCAGCAGGUUAAUACCCCGCUGUUCUGACGGUACCCAAAGAAUAAGCACCGGCUAACUUCGUG